rnacentral:rRNA from 1 species
GUGCCAGCAGCCGCGGUAAUACGGAGGGUGCAAGCGUUGUCCGGAAUCACUGGGUGUAAAGGGUGUGCAGGCGGGGCAACAAGUCGGAUGUGAAACCCCAUGGCUCAACCAUGGAGGUGCAUUCGAAACUGUUGCUCUUGAGUCCCGGAGAGGCUGUCGGAAUUCGUGGUGUAGCGGUGAAAUGCGUAGAUAUCACGAGGAACACCAGAGGCGAAAGCGGGCAGCUGGACGGGUACUGACGCUCAGGCACGAAAGCGUGGGGAGCAAACAGGAUUAGAUACCCUGGUAGUCCACGCCGUAAACGAUGAACGCUCGCCGUUGCCCCGUCAAGGGGCAGUGGCUAAGCUAACGCGUUAAGCGUUCCACCUGGGGAGUACGAUCGCAAGGUUGAAACUCAAAGGAAUUGACGGGGGCCCGCACAAGCGGUGGAGCAUGUGGCUCAAUUCGAUGCAACGCGCAGAACCUUACC